GACGAAUGCUGGCUGCGUGCUUAACACAUGCAAGUCGAACGGUGAACAGGAGCUUGCUCCUGGGAUCAGUGGCGAACGGGUGAGUAACACGUGGGCAACCUGCCCCUCACUCUGGGAUAACUCCGGGAAACCGGGGCUAAUACCGGAUAUGACCUCGAGCGACAUCUCUCGCGGUGGAAAGAAUUUCGGUGAGGGAUGGGCCCGCGGCCUAGCAGCUUGUUGGUGGGGUAACGGCCCACCAAGGCGACGACGGGUAGCCGGCCUGAGAGGGCGACCGGCCACACUGGGACUGAGACACGGCCCAGACUCCUACGGGAGGCAGCAGUGGGGAAUAUUGCGCAAUGGGCGAAAGCCUGACGCAGCGACGCAGCGUGAGGGACGACGGCCUUCGGGUUGUAAACCUCUUUCAGCGGGGACGAAGCGAAAGUGACGGUACCCGCAGAAGAAGCACCGGCUAACUACGUGCCAGCAGCCGCAGUAACAC
rnacentral:rRNA from 1 species